AGAGAAGAAGAGUGGCAGUUUGUUUUCUAGGUUCUGGGGCAAAAAGAAAAGCAAGAAGGAGGAGGAUGAAUCAGAAAUUUUAACUGAAGAUCAGAAAAAAGAAGAACUGGAGAAGUUGUACAGUGCCAUUGGUUACAGUGAAGGAGAAACCAUAACAGUAUUCCCCAAGGAGUAUGUGGAAAAUAAAGUUGAGGUGAUUUUGAAGCAGAUUAGUGUGGCUUUAAGAGAUGAUGCAGCUGCCAAGUCAGUUGCUGUUGCCAAACUGAGUUUCCAGGAUCUUUCUGCAGAGCUCUCCCAAAGACCAUCGGCACAAGCAAUCAACUUGCUUUGAUGGGAG